AAUUAUUGUACUAACUUGAAUGUUGAGUUUGUGCAUAUUAGGGUAAUAAUGCAUUGAAUGGAUAUAUGGAUGUUUAUUAUAUUGUAUUGAAAAUAUUAGGUAAGUAUAAUUCUUGUUACAUGAGCUUACUAAGCACAAAGUGCUUACCCCGUUUCCUUUUUCCCUGUUUUGUAGUAUUAAGAGCUCGGAGGUCGGAUUUGGUCGGAGACACAUCACACUGUCAACCUCAGGAUUUCGGUAUAUAAAGAAACUUUAUUUUGGAAAUCAAUGGCAUGUAUAAGC
rnacentral:lncRNA from 1 species